rnacentral:lncRNA from 1 species
CCCGCCGACACACACCAAAGCUUUCUCUCCCGAACAAAUCCAACUUUUACUUUACUUUUCCUGGGCGAAAGCUUUGCGCAUGCCCCCCGCCGCCUCUCCUGCAGCCCUUUCUUCUGCCCUCCAGCGCAGGCUGCGGGAGGCCUCGAGGUGUCUGCUUUCAACCCUGCCUGGCCUGGGGGUCCUGAAGCUCAGCCCCUGCCGGGCGGGCGCCCCUCCUUCAGCCGCCUGAGGGGGACGCAGACUCCUCCCGCGCGGCCCCGGGCGCGGGGAGCGGCCGGGAAACUUACCUGCGCGGAGCGGCUCCCGGAGCUCCCGCGUCGCCGUCAGCCGCGCGGCCGCCGCAGCAUCGCCAGCAGCCGCCGCAGGGCCCCCGCCCGCCCCGGCAGCGCUGUCCUGUGCCGCACUUUUCCGAGCCUGGGAAGUCGGCGGAGGGCUCGGAGGCCACCAGAUCGUCUUGAUAAGAAUUCCAGGUUUUCCCCUCGAGCGGUUCUGAUACUAUCAAUUAAAAGCAAUGGCCUUGGGCAGAGCGCUCAGGAGGUGGGGAGUGCGCGGGCAGGCGCGCAGAACCUCAAGAAUAAAGGUAUUCCAGGUAUAAGCACCCAAAGAGACCCUCUUUCCCAUGGGCAACUCCACGCCCCUCGCCCUACAUCAAACCAUCACAGGACGCGAGCGGGAAGUGUCCUCUCCGCGUCCAGGCGCCCCACCUCUCUGACCUGGCUACGCACGGGAUGCUCCCCGGAUCGCCGGCGCGCCCACACUGGAGCCGGCCACCGCCCGGCGCGGGCGCAAUGGAUGGCCAUCACCGCCCACCCUCACGCACGUUUGCGCGCAGGAGAAAAAAAAAAGAAAAAGAUCAAAAACUCAUACAGUUCUCCACCUGCCGGUCCUUCCUGGAUUUGGGCCGAGCCCGGGGACCCCUUCCAAGCCUAUAAAGUCUGUGAAGGACCGCUGGCGGGAAGCGGCCCCGGGGACUCAGGUGAAAUGAGUCUGGAGCUGCGCUCAGCGCAUCCUCGAACUGGCCCGUGGGGGCUGUGUUUGACCCUGGGGGCGAAACUACGGGUAAAGCAGCCUCCGCCAGAAUUUCAAAAACUCCCUGCAGGCCACGGAAUGUUUUAUGCAUCAGAAAGGAAGGCCGGGAUUCAGGUCACUGGGACUGGAAGCCGGGGAAGGGCUCGGCCAGCAGGGCGGGGGGUUGGGGGGAGGGCAGGCGGGAGCAGCCUGAAGCCAUCCAGGCCUCCCGUGCGGGGCUGCGGGCUUUUUCCCCGCCAGCCACUCACUGCUUGCUCGUCCUGUCUCUUUCAAGGAAAGCACAGUCCUUUUGCUCCCUGGCACAGCCCUAAGCUAGGGCACUGAUUGCGGAAGCUAUAAAGAGGCAGGCUCCUGCCCCUGGGAAGGGGGAUGUCGAGCCUUUUCAUGUGCUCCAACCCUGCGCAGUAGCCUCCAGCGAGGUCGGCCCCUCCGGCCUGGAGCUGUAGUGGAUUGUGACUCCGAUCCCGGGGCUCUUGCACCCUCGUCUGUUUUUGAUUUGUCGGACUUUUCAUGGGGCACCCACCUUUAAUGCCUUGAAUUUAACGUGGUCAAACAAAACAAAAAUCAGUAGAACCAGCAGAUCGAAUACAGAGGAGGGAUUGAGUGGUGUCCCUCCACCAGCGGCUCCACCACCACCUUGUGAUUUCUAAAAAGCAACGUCCAGAUCCCUGCCUGGCCCUUUUGGGGAGUCACGCGCUUGAGAACACUUGUGAAAAGCUUCAGGCAUGGCCUCGAGGACUAGGCGUUCUGCUUGCCCACUCACUGACCCAGAUAAAAAUUAGUCUGUAUUUUAUACACAAGGCACACAUCAGGAGUACCCAGAAUAAGUCCAUAUAAGUAAGCCCACAGGAAUGUCCCCAGACUACGUUACCUGUUAAUAUAAAUGUAAAGCCAAGAUUUCAGAUUGAGCGUCUAAAUUGAAACUGCUCUGCAUAUGUUACGCAUCUGGCUGAGACACUGUGAAAAUCGAACAUUCAAUAAUUCUCAAUGUCAACGUAAGGUUCCUGUGCCAAAAAAGCAAACUGCUAGGCUGGAUCUCUUUUCCCCACCCUCCCCCGCUCUUUGUAGAUUUCCUGCUGAAGUAUUGAUUGCCAAGGUCUCUGCAAGAUUUGCAAACUUUUACGGUCAUUUAUGAUGCAUGCAAUAAAAAAGAGGUGAUAUGAGCA